rnacentral:rRNA from 1 species
AGAGUUUGAUCCUGGCUCAGGAUAAACGCUGGCGGCGUGCCUUACACAUGCAAGUCGAACGAAGCCCCCGUUUCUGCUGGGUGGCUGAUUGGGAAACGGGUGAAUAGCGCGUAGGUGAUCUGCCCCGAAGAGGGGAACAACCCGUGGGAACGCGGGCUAAGGCCCCAUACGCCCACCGGAUCGGACCGGUGGGGAAACGUUCCGGCGCCUUGGGAGGAGCCUGCGUCCGAUUAGCUAGUUGGUGGGGUAAUGGCCUACCAGGGGGACUAUCGGUAGCUGGUCUGAGAGGAUGAUCAGCCAUAUUGGGACUGAGACACGGCCCAAACUCCUACGGGAGGCAGCAGCGAGGAAUAUUGCGCAAUGGGGGAAACCCUGACGCAGCAACGCCGCGUGGAGGACGAAGGUUUUCGGAUUGUAAACUCCUUAUCUGGAGGAAGAGAGAGGACGGUACCCCAGGACGAAGACACGGCUAACUAGGUGCCAACAGCCGCGGUAAUACCUAGGUGUCGAGCGUUAUCCGGAAUUACUGGGCGUAAAGGGUGCGCACUGCGGCGAUACAAGUCUGGCGUGAAAGCUUCUGGCUUAACUGGGAGAGGACGUUAGAAACUGUAUGGCUAGAGUGAAUGAGAGGGGGGCGGAAAUCCCGGUGUAGUGGUGGAAUGCGUAGAUAUCGGGAAGAACACCAGAGGCGAAGGCGGCCUCCUGGCAUUUUACUGACGCUGAGGCACGAAAGCGUGGGUAGCGAACGGGAUUAGAUACCCCGGUAGUCCACGCUGUAAACGAUGUGAACGAGGUGUGGGCGGUGUAGAAGCCGUCUGUGCCGGAGCAAACGCGAUAAGUUCACCGCCUGGGGAGUACGGUCGCAAGGCUAAAACUCAAAGGAAUUGACGGGGGCCCGCACAAGCAGCGGAGCGUGUGGUUUAAUUCGAUGCAACGCGAAGAACCUUACCUGGGCUUGACAUGUACGUAGUAGUGAAGGGAAACCGGAACGAGCCUUCGGGCAGCGUAGACAGGUGCUGCAUGGCUGUCGUCAGCUCGUG